rnacentral:rRNA from 1 species
CCUACGGGAGGCAGCAGUGGGGAAUAUUGGACAAUGGGCGAAAGCCUGAUCCAGCCAUGCCGCGUGUGUGAAGAAGGCCUUCGGGUCGUAAAGCACUUUAAGUUGGGAGGAAGGGCUCAUAGCGAAUACCUGUGNGUUUUGACGUUACCAACAGAAUAAGCACCGGCUAACUUCGUGCCAGCAGCCGCGGUAAUACGAAGGGUGCAAGCGUUAAUCGGAAUUACUGGGCGUAAAGCGCGCGUAGGUGGCUUGAUAAGUUGGAUGUGAAAUCCCCGGGCUCAACCUGGGAACUGCAUCCAAAACUGUCUGGCUAGAGUGCGGUAGAGGGUAGUGGAAUUUCCAGUGUAGCGGUGAAAUGCGUAGAUAUUGGAAGGAACACCAGUGGCGAAGGCGACUACCUGGACUGACACUGACACUGAGGCGCGAAAGCGUGGGGAGCAAACAGGAUUAGAUACCCUGGUAGCCCACGCCGUAAACGAUGUCAACUAGACGUUGGGCUCCUUGAGAUCUUACUNGCGCAGCUAACGCAUUAAGUUGACCGCCUGGGGAGUACGGCCGCAAGGUUAAAACACAAACGAAUUGACGGGAGCCCGCACAAGCGGUGGAGCAUGUGGUUUAAUUCCAAGCAACACGAACAAUC